UAGGAAAGUCAUAAAUAUAUAAAUUAUAUUAUAUAAUUAAUAUAAUAAUAAAAUAAAUUAUAUAUUUUAUUUAUAAUAUUAUUUCUUUAUAAGAUAAAAUAUUAUCUGAUGAAUAAUUAGAUUGAAUAAUAUUUAUAAAGAAAUAUAUAUAUAUAUAAAAAGUCAUUAUAUAAAUUUAAUUAUAAUUUAAAUAAAUUUUAUAUAAAUUAAUAUAAUAUUAAUAAAGUAAUUAGUAUAAAUAAAUAAUAUGAAAAUAAAACUUAAUAAAUAUAUAAAUAUAGUCCGGCCCGCCCCCCGCGGGGGCGGACCCCGAAUGAGUCCAUAUAUAUAUAUUAAUAAAAAAAAGUAAUAUAUAUAUAUAUAUUGGAAUAGUUAUAUUAUUAUACAGAAAUAUGCUUAA
rnacentral:misc_RNA from 1 species